UACGUAGGGGGCAAGCGUUGUCCGGAUUUAUUGGGCGUAAAGAGCGUGUAGGCGGCCAGGUAGGUCGGUUGUGAAAACUAGAGGCUUAACCUCUAGACGUCGACCGAAACCAUCUGGCUAGAGUCCGGAAGAGGAGAGUGGAAUUCCUGGUGUAGCGGUGAAAUGCGCAGAUAUCAGGAAGAACACCCGUGGCGAAAGCGGCUCUCUGGGGACGGUACUGACGCUGAGACGCGAAAGCGUGGGGAGCGAACAGG
rnacentral:rRNA from 1 species